UACGUAGGGGGCGAGCGUUGCCCGGAUUCAUUGGGCGUAAAGAGCUCGUAGGCGGCUUGGCAAGUCGGGUGUGAAAACUCCAGGCUCAACCUGGAGACGCCACCCGAUACUGCCAUGGCUUGAGUCCGGUAGGGGACCACGGAAUUCCUGGUGUAGCGGUGAAAUGCGCAGAUAUCAGGAGGAACACCGGUGGCGAAGGCGGUGGUCUGGGCCGGCACUGACGCUGAGGAGCGAAAGCGUGGGGAGCGAACAGG
rnacentral:rRNA from 1 species